rnacentral:rRNA from 1 species
GACGAACGCUGGCGGCGUGCUUAACACAUGCAAGUCGAACGGUAAGGCCCUUCGGGGUACACGAGUGGCGAACGGGUGAGUAACACGUGGGUGAUCUGCCCUGCACUUCGGGAUAAGCCUGGGAAACUGGGUCUAAUACCGGAUAGGACUCCUGGCUUCAUGGUUGGGGGUGGAAAGCUUGUGCGGUGUGGGAUGGGCCCGCGGCCUGUCAGCUUGUUGGUGGGGUAAUGGCCUACCAAGGCGACGAGGGGUAGCCGGCCUGAGAGGGUGACCGGUCACACGGGGACGGCGCUACUGCCCAGACUCCUGCGGGAGGCAGCGGUGGGGAAUAUUGCACAGUGGGCGCAAGCCUGAUGCAGCGACGCCGCGUGAGGGAUGACGGACUUCGGGUUGUAAAGCUCUUUCAGCUAUGACGAAGCGCAAGUGACGGUAGUAGCAGAAGAAGGACCGGCCAACUACGUGCCAGCAGCCGCAGUAA